GAUGUUUGUCCUCAUGCUAGCUAGCAGUAGCCAUUAUGAAAUGGCAUGUCACUUGAACAACAAAGGAGCCAAUUGGCUGACACUGAUAUUCCAAAAUGGCUGCUGUGGUUUAUGCUUCCUGAGGAGGAAAAACUACCAGUUGAUCAAUGCGACAAUUCAGCAUAUAGAGCAAUAUUUUGCACGGGCUCUGUGGUGUCUUUAUCUACACAGGAAACGCCUUUGUCGGACCCUAGUCAGUGUUGCUGUAAGCAGAGUUCUGGAAGGAGCUGAUGUCCCAAUGGCGGAAGGUGCUGUUCUUGAAGCUGGCCCGGCUCUUGGUGAUGCGAUAGAUCUUCCUCAGCACGGCCCGGCGCAGCAAGAUGUAGAACCCAGGGGUCCAGGAUCUGGUUCCAGGAAGCCAGCCGGACGCCCAUCACCAUCAACUUCCUGUAUGUGUCCUGGUCACUGCCUAUGGAACCGCUAUAGGGACCGUGUGACUGACAUCAGGCCAAAGAUCUGCAAGUAACACAGAUACCUGGGUUAGUUUUACAGUGGUUGUGCAGGAUAUAGAGAUGUUCAGCUGGUGUAUAUAUGUUUGCAUCAAUCUGCAUACACUGCUAGUAAUUUAUCUACAUUACCUGACACUGUUGAAUGCCACAUAUUAACAAAACAAUUCAUAAAUGUAGCAGUCAAAAUUGCAUCGUCACAACGUGUUCCUAUGAAUAGCUUUACUGAUGUUAGAAAUCACAGGCUCAAAAUUGUAGCUGAUAAAUCUUAUUUACAACUUUUAUAACAAUUGGUCACAGCUUAUUAAGAGAUUUUAAGCACAAACAAUGCCUCUGUAAUGAUUCUUAUAUCUCCCCAACAGUAAAAAAUGAAUGCUAAGCUGUUCCUAUUUAGUUCACACAUCAGUAAUUAUAUUUGGGCCCAACUUUUAGGCAGUAUUGUGCAAAUCAACAGGUCAACUACUGACAUUAACGGGCUUAAUGUCUUCCAGGUGAGAAAUCCAUUAAUAGACACUUUUAAUGCACAUAACGUGCUUCUACACCUGCAUUGCUUGCUGUUUGGGGUUUUAGGCUGGGUUUCUGUACACGACUUUGAGAUAUCAGCUGAUGUAAGAAGGGCUUUAUAAAUAAUUUGACAAUGUUCUAAAUAAAAAACAAUGCAUACUUUUUGGGAGGAGGAACAGGAGGGGGGUAGGGGGUGCUCAAGGCUACUCUAAGUUUUAACAGACCCAGUGAUGACAAGUAAACAGGCCGCCAUAAUUUGAAGCAUGGUUUUAUAGUCUGUCCUCUUUCACUUCUCACAGUUUAUGUGUCAAAAUGAAUGGUUACGUUUAUAUUGGACCUGAAUAAUUG
rnacentral:lncRNA from 1 species